GGCCCAUUAGCUCAGCUGGUUAGAGCAGUCGGCUCAUAACCGAUCGGUCCUGGGUUCAAGUCCCCGAUGGGCCACCA
rnacentral:tRNA from 1 species